UCUCUGUGAUGUCAUUCCAGUAGAUCCUUCCGACCCUCCACUGUGGACUCAAUAGCAGGGGGAUGAAGAGGACAGCAACUGAGAGA
ensembl:snoRNA SNORD62 Small nucleolar RNA SNORD62